GAAAAUAGACAUCUGUAGCUUUCCAAUGAUAUAAGGCUCAUAAUCUGAUUCGAUCUCAGUAAUUCGGCGAAGUUGGAUGUUCUGCCCAGGCAGAUUUUAGGACUUGGGAUUGUAGUCGUCUUUCAAUCCUUAUUUGCGCAUUUUAUCUCUUUUUCUUCUCUCUAUGACACAAACCUUCAAGAACACUAAAAUAACAUAAAUAAGUCAUAAAGAAGAUAACUAAAUACAAAUCUCAAGCAUAAAAGGCUUAGAAAUAUAGGAUAAUAUGAGCAUAUCAAAAAUUGGCCGGAAAGUUAUAAUCCACCCACCGUAACUCUACGUCGUGAGUCGAGCUUCAAGACCAUCAUAAGUCGAACCAGGGCGCCCAACACUUCCUAUCCCUACCGGUUUUAAGCCUCGUCGCCACCGCCGGAGGUAGGAAUCCCGACCGGUCCUCCACCCGAAACUUCUAGGCUUCGAUUCGCACGAACCAUCAUGAAUCGGAGCAAGCCACCACCACAAGUAAGGAUGCGCCACCGAGAUGAAGCGUCUCCAACCGGUGCCGUCGGUCGGAGUUGGCUGAAAAAACCGGGUCCGGGUCGGGUCAGCUGGAGAAUUUGGAUUCUCUCGGGGUCAGGAAGAGAGAAGGAGAGGGGAAGAAAUGUGAUUUUGAAAAAAUGAGGACCCAAAACAAAAUUUUCCUAUUUAACCUAAAUAUUCCUGAAAAGUCACAACUUCCGCUGACCAUAACUUUCUCAUACGAAGUCUGUUUUAUGCGUGUCGCGUGUCUACGAACUUGUAUCGUCGUGCUCUACAACUUUCGUGAAGGAAGUUUCUCGAGAAACCCAACGAAUAAAAAGUCAACUCUAAGGCUGCUAAGGGGUCGCCUUCACUCGCUAUAGGUCUGCCUUGGCCCGCUUUGGGCUGCCUUAACUCGCCUUGGGCUGCCUUGACUCGGCUAAGGCCACAAAGGUGCCGCCUUCACCUAGCUAAGGCCGCAAGGUGUCGCAUUGACCCGCUAAGGGUCUGCCUUGACCUGCUUUGGGCUGUCUUGACCCUUCUUGGCCACCCCUUGCGCUGCCUUGACACGUCUAGGGCCACCUUGACCUGUUAUGGGCUGCCUUGACCUGUCUACGGCCGAUUUGGGCCGUCUUGACCCAUCUAGGGGCACCUUGACCCGCCUUAACCUGCCUUGGCCCGCCUGGACCCGCCUUGGGCUGCCUUGACCCGCCUAGACCCUCCUAGGGCCGCUAAGAGGCCGCCUUAGCCCAUCUAGGUCCACUAAGAGGCCGCCUUAACCCAUCUAGGGCGGCCAAGGGGCCGCGUUCACCUGUUUAAGACCGCCAAAGGGCCACCUUGGGCUGCCUUGACCCAUUUUAGGCCGCCUUGGGCUGUCUUUAUCUAGGGCCUCUAAGAGAUCGUCUUAACCCAUUUAGGUCCACUAAGAGGCCACCUUAACCCAUCUAUGGACGCCAAGGGCCGCGUUCACCCGUCGAAGGCCGCCAAGGGGGCCGCGUUUACCCAUUUUGACUUGCCAGGAGCUGCUUUGACCUUCCUAGACCCACCCAAGGCCGCCUUGCCCCUUCUAGGCCCUCCUAGGCCCGCCUAAACCACCAAGGGGCCGACUUGACCCUCCAAGGCCCUCCUAGGCCCGCUUACGGCCACUAAGGGGCCGCCUUUACCUGUUUUGGGCUACCUUGACCCGCCUUGACUCGUCUUGUGCCGCCUUAACCUGCCUUGGGCCCCCUUGACCCGUCUNNNNNNNNNNNNNNNNNNNNGCCUAGACCAUCCUUGGGCCGCUAAGAGGCCGCCUUAGCCCAUCUAGGUCCACUAAGAGGACGCCUUAACCCAUCUAGAGCGGCCAAGGGGCCGCGUUCACCCGUUUAAGCCUGCCAAGGGGCCACCUUGACCCGCCUUGGCCCACCUUGACCCCCUUAGGCCGCCUUGAUCCGCUUUGGGCCGCCUUGACCCGCCUUGGCCAACCUUGACCCGCCUUAGGCCUCCUUGACCCUCCUAGGGCCUCUUAAACCGCCUUAACUCUCCUAGGGUCUCCAAGAGGCCGCCUUAACCGAUCUAGGGCUACCAUGAGGCCGCCUUCACCCAUUUAGGACCACUAGGUUCCCGCCUUGACCCGUCUAAGGCUGCUAAGGGGGUCGCCUUCACUCGCUAUAGAUCUACCUUGGCCCGCUUUGGGCUGCCUUGACUCGGCUAAGGCCACAAAGGUGCCGCCUUCACCUAGCUAAGUCCGCAAGGUGUCGCCUUGACCCGAUAAGGGUCUGCCUUGACCGGCUUUGGGUUGCCUUGGUCACCCCUUACGCUACCUUGACAAGUCUAGGGCCACAUUGACCUGUUAUGGGUUGCCUUGACCCGUCUACGGCCGAUUUGGGCCGUCUUGACCCAUCUGGGGCACUUUGACCUGCCUGGACCCGCCUAGACCCUCCUAGGGCCGUUAAGAGGCCGCCUUAGCCCAUCUAGUUCUACUAAGAGGCCGCCUUAGCCCAUCUAGGUCUACUAAGAGGCCGCCUUAACCCAUCUAGGGCGGCCAAAGGGCCGCGUUCACCUGUUUAAGCCCGCCAAAAGGCCACCUUGGCCCAACUUGGGCUGCCUUGACCCAUCUUAGGCUGCCUUGGGUCGUCUUUAUCUAGGGCCGCUAAGAGAUCGCCUUAACCCAUCUAGGUCCACUAAGAGGCCACCUUAACCCAUCUAUGGACGUCAAGGGCCGCGUUCACCCGUCGAAGGCCGCCAAGGGCCGCGUUCACCCAUUUUGACUUGACAGGAGCUGCCUUGACCUUCCUAGGCCCGCCCAAGGCCGCCUUGCCCAUUCUAGGCCCUCCUAGGCCUGCCUAAACCACCAAGGGGCCGACUUGACCCUUCAAGGCCCUCCUAGGCCCGCCUACGGCAACUAAGGGGCCGCCUUUGCCUGCUUUGGGCUGCCUUGACCCGCCUUGGGCCGCCUUUACCAGUCUACGGCCGCCUUGGGCUGCCUUGACUCGUCUAGUGCAGCCUUAACCUGCCUUUACCCACCUUGGGCCGCCUAGACCCUCCAAGGGCCACUAAGAGGCCGCCUUAGCCCAUCUAGGUCCACUAAGAGGCCGCCUUAACACAUCUAGGGCGGCUAAGGGGCCGCGUUCACCCGUUUAAACCCACUAAGGGGCCACCUUAACCCGCCUUGGCCCACUUUGGGCCGCCAUGACCCGCCUUGACCCGUCUUGACCCGUCUUAGGCCGUCUUGACCCUCCUAAGGCCUCUUGAACCGCCUUAACUCUCCUAGGGCCGUCAGGAGGCCGCCUUAACCGAUCUAGGGCUACCAUGAGGCCGCCUUCACCCAUGUAGAACCACUAGGUGCCCGCCUUGACCCGUCUAAGGCUGCUAAGGGGUCGCCUUCACUUGCUGUAGGUCUGCCCUUGCCCGCUUUGGGCUGUCUUGACUCGGCUAAGGCCACAAAGGUGCCGCCUUCACCUGGCUAAGGCCGCAAGGUGCCUCCUUGACCCGCUAAGGGUCUGCCUUGACCCGCUUUGGGCUGCCUUGACCCUCCUUGGCCACCCCUUACGCUGCCUUGACACAUCUAGGGCCACCUUGACCUGUUAUGGGCUGCCUUGACCCGUCUACGGCCGAUUUGGGCCGUCUUGACCCAUCUAGGGGCGCCUUGACCCGUCUUAACCUGCCUUGGCCCGCCUGGACCCGCCAUGGGCUGCCUUGACCCGCCUAGACCCUCCUAGGGCCGCUAAGAGGCCAUCUUAGCCCAUCUAGGUCCACUAAGAGGCCGCCUUAACCCAUCUAGGGCGGCCAAGGGGUCGCAUUCACCUGUUUAAGCCUGCCAAAGGGCCACCUUGGCCCGACUUGGGCUGCCUUGACCCAUCUUAGGCCGCCUUGGGCCGCCUUUAUCUAGGGCCGCUAAGAGAUCGCCUUAACCUAUCUAGGUCCACUAAGAGGCCACCUUAACCCAUCUAUAGACGCCAAGGGCCGCGUUCACCCAUUUUGACUUGCCAGGAGCUGCCUUGACCUUCCUAGACCCGCCCAAGGCCGCCUUGCCCCUCCUAGGCUCUCCUAGGACUGCCUAAACCACCAAGAGGCCUACUUGACCCUCCAAGGCCCUCCUAGGCCCGCCUACGGCCACUAAGGGGCCGCCUUUGCUUGCUUUGGGCUGCCUUGACCCACCUUGGGCCACCUUUACCCGUCUACGGCCACCUUGGGCUGCCUUGACUCGUCUAGUGCAGCCUUAACCUGCCUUUACCCACCUUGGGCUGCCUAGACCCUCCAAGGGCCACUAAGAGGCCGCCUUAGCCCAUCUAGGUCCACUAAGAGGCCGCCUUAACCCGCCUUGGCCCACCUUGGGCUGCCUUGACCCGCCAUGGGCCGCCUUGACCCAUCUUGACCCGCCUUAGGCCGCCUUGACCCUCCUAAGGCCUCUUGAACCGCCUUAACUCUCCUAGGGCCGCCAAGAGGCCGCCUUAACCGAUCUAGGGCUACCAUGAGGCCGCCUUCACCCAUUUAGGACCACUAGGUGCCCGCCUUGACCCGUCUAAGGCUGCUAAGGGGGUCGCCUUCACUCGCUAUAGGUCUGCCUUGGCCCGCUUUGGGCUGCAUUGACCCUCCUUGGCCCCUCUUGCGCAGCCUUGACACGUCUAGGGCCACCUUGACCCGUCUACGGCCACUUUGGGCCGUCUUGACCCGUCUAGGGGCGCCUUAACCCGCCUUUACCUGCUUUGGCCCGCCUUUACCCGCUUUGGGCUUGCUUGACCCGCCUAGACCCUCAUAGGGCUGCUAAGAGGCUGCCUUAGCCCAUCUUGAGCUGCUUUGACCCGCAUUGGGUCUCCUUGACCCGCCUUUACCCUCCUAGGGCCACUAAGAGGCCGCCUUAACCCUUCUAGGGCGGCCAAGGGCCCACGUUCACCCGUUUAAGGCCGCCAAGGGGACACCUUGACCCUCAUAGGCCGCCUUGACCCGUCUAGGGUCGUAUUGACCGCCUAGGGCCUCUUGGGCCGCCUUGACCCUCCUAGGCCCUCCUAGACCUGCCUAGGACCACCUUGACCCGCCUUGGCCUGCUUUGGGCUGACUUAACCCACCAUGGGCUUCCUUGACCCGGCUACGACCGCUUUGGGCCGCCUUUAGUCGCCCUGACCCUCAUAGACCCUCCUUGGGCCGCUAAGAGGCCGCCUUAGCCCAUCCAGGUCCACUACGAGGCCGCCUUAACCCAUCUAGGGAGGCCAAGAGGCCGCGUUCACCCAUUUAAGCCCGCCAAGGGGUCACCUUGAUCCGCCUUGGCCUGGCUUGGGCUGCCUUAACCCGCCUUAACCUGCUUUGGGCUGCCUUUGGCCGACUUGACCCGCUUUGGGCCGCCNNNNNN
rnacentral:lncRNA from 1 species